rnacentral:rRNA from 1 species
UGGGGAAUAUUGGACAAUGGGCGCAAGCCUGAUCCAGCCAUGCCGCGUGAGUGACGAAGGCCUUAGGGUUGUAAAGCUCUUUUUGGCGGGGACGAUAAUGACGGUACCCGCAGAAUAAGCCCCGGCUAACUUCGUGCCAGCAGCCGCGGUAAUACGAAGGGGGCUAGCGUUGUUCGGAAUCACUGGGCGUAAAGCGCACGUAGGCGGAUUUGUAAGUCAGGGGUGAAAUCCCGGGGCUCAACCUCGGAACUGCCUUUGAUACUGCAAGUCUCGAGUUCGGGAGAGGUGAGUGGAAUUCCUAGUGUAGAGGUGAAAUUCGUAGAUAUUAGGAAGAACACCAGUGGCGAAGGCGGCUCACUGGCCCGAUACUGACGCUGAGGUGCGAAAGCGUGGGGAGCAAACAGGAUUAGAUACCCCCGUAGUCCCUGAGCGGGCUGGCAAGGCGCAU